UGGGAAAGAUGGACUGAAUUUUAUGUUCCUCGUUUGCUCUAAAUCUCUCUCACCUCAAAAAACACAAUGAGGAGGGUUGUGAUCGCUAAAACCACAGGAAUUAAAUUUUUUAAGGCCAUCGAGCAAAGACCCAAUAAAAAAAAUCGACAGCAUUUCCGGGUUCUAGAAAACGAAUGAUUUUUUUUCGGUCAGGUGCGUUUCUUUCUUCUCCGAAUGUGGGAAUUUUCUCGGAAUGGUGAAAAACACGGACUGUUUUUGUUGUAGGUCUUGGAGGGUGGAGGAACGGUCUAAAUAGAUUGAAAAGCUGACAAAACAUUAAAUGGGAUUAGAGAAAUUCUUUGUAUGAGAAGCAGAAUGUUUUUUUGUGGGAGGGCAGAAAACAGCAGGGUAUGAAAACUUGGAACACAUGCAGAAAAAUACAGUAUAGUGAAGAGGAAUUGCAACAUCUAAACAAAUUUCCUGACCAAAAGUCUUGGGUAGCAGCCAGAUUUGUGGAAGUAGAGAAUGAUGCAGUUCCUACAGAAAUACCUGCACGAGUACCAGAUUCACCGGAACCGUCUGGUAACUAAGGAUGGUCACUGCAACAUUGAGUUUGGCCAUGUAAGUUACCGAAAGUGCUUUGCCUUCCUGUUCGACUUCUGGACCACCUUUGUGGAGAUCCGGUGGCGCUACCUGCUGGUCUUUUCAACCAUCUUCUUCAUAGGCAGCUGGUUCAUCUUUGGGCUGCUAUGGUACUGGAUCGCACAAAGCAACAUGGACCUGUGGUGGCAGACCCCACCUCCUGAUCAUAUGCCGUGUGUGAACAAUGUGGAUGGACUCAUCACGGCUUUCCUUUACUCACUUGAGACGCAGACGACCAUUGGAUAUGGGGUCCGACUCAUCACGCCUCACUGCGCUGGAGCUAUCAUACUCCUCGUCAUCCAGAUCAUAAUAGGCACCAUCACCAACAGCGUUGUGUGUGGUGUCAUCCUGGCAAAAAUGUCCCUGCCCAAAAAAAGGUCCAAGACGAUAACCUUCAGCAAGACAGCUGUCAUCUGCAUGAAAAAUGGCAGCCUCUGCCUGGUGAUCCAGGUGGCCAAUCUGCGCAAGACUCUGCUGAUCGGAAGCCAAAUUUAUGGCAAGUUGCUGAGGACUACCGUCACACCCGAAGGGGAGACCAUUAUUAUGGAUCAAGUUAACAUCGACUUUCUAGUGGAUGCAGGCAAGGAUAACCUCUUCUUCAUCUGCCCUAUGACACUUUAUCACGUCAUCAACAAGACCAGCCCGUUCUUCGAGAUGGCUGUAGAUACUCUACAUCAGCAGGAUUUCGAACUGGUGGUCUUCCUCGAAGGAACGGCCGAGUCCACCAGCACUUCUUUCCAAGUACGGACCUCCUUCAUCCCCCGGGAGAUUCAGUGGGGCUUUGCCUUCCUGCCUAUCGUUUCUCGAACCAAGGAGGGCAGGUACUGUGUAGACUUCUGUAACUUCUCCAAAACGCUUCCGGUGCCAACUCCACACUGCGCCGAUUGCUGCCACAACGAGAAGGUGCACAAUUACCAUGACAGGAGAGGCAUCGACAACCAAGGCUUUCAAAUUCUCGAAAUGCCAUCGGAGAUCGCCUAUAUCACCAAAAUGUGAGCCCCUGUGGGUUUUUAACAAAAAGGGCCCACAUUUUUUAUUAAUGAAAUGGCUCCAUGUCUGUGGAAUAUAGUCUCCAUGUCUCAUACACAUAUGAGAGAAGCUGUCAUAUUUAAGACGGUUUUGAUCUUAGUUUCAGCACAUGAAGGUAAUGAGAUAUCAGAUAACAUAGGGAAGGGGGUGCUGAUCUUGAAUUUGUAAAGGUCACGUGAUGAAAGCUGGUAUGGCUGGGCUGUGGUUCAGUGAAUUUCCUAGGUACUAACAGCCAAACAGGUGAUUAUUAUAAGCAUUAUUACGAGGAACUCUUCAUAAAUGACUGAUGUUCUAAUUUACUUACAUUCCGCUUAAACCUAUAUGGGACAAAACACUCACCAGACACAUUUCAGUCCAUUUACCAGAGUGCACACACAGACACACAAACACACACACACACACACACACACACGUAUCCUUAUGGGGACCGCCCAUUCACUUCCAUGGGAAAAAUGCUAACACUAACUAUGACAACCUUAACCCCCCCCCCAGCCCUAACCAUAACCAUAAGUAACCAAGCACAAUACAAGAGUUUUUGCAUUUUUAGUUUUUUCAUAGCAGUCACCAAUUGUUAUAAAAUAGACUUUUCCCUGAUGGGGACCAGGAAACCGGAUAUUUAUUACAUUAUGGGGACAUUGUGUCCCCAUAAGGAUAGGUAUACCCGCUCACACACACACACACACACACACACACACACACAACGUGCCUCAAGCAGUGGACACAAUCUCCUGCCAACAAUGCCGUCUAUGGAAAAUGAGUUUAAAAUCCAUAGUUAAAUAGAAUUAAGGUCAGGUACCAAAGACUGUGAAAACUGACCCCCUGUGAUUUGUCCCAAAAAUGCAUGUAUAUGUAAUGAGAAAUACGAGAGCUUUGCUGCUGUUCUGUUUUAUUGCUUAUGCCUUGUAUGAUACAGGUUUCAUUGAACGUUGAACUAUAAUAGUUUGUAGAGUAUUUCAGGUGAAAAUAGUGCAGUUUUUUUUUAUUAUUACAAAGUAAUUAGUAAAUAAAUACAGCAAUCUUGUGCAACAAACUCAGCACGCCUCUCCAAUGACGUCUCAGCCAUUGUAAUGCACACCUUGCCCCGCUAAAUCAAUUGUCCAUUCAUCUUUGAAUGGAACUUUCUGGACGUGAGGAGGGGCUACCUAAUCAGUUGCUUUAAAAACGAUAU